CUAAUCAUAAAUAUAAUAAUACAAGGACUAAACUACAAAAUAUACAAAAUUACAAAUCCCACCGUUUAAGCGCCUUCAUUCUUAAGGAACCAGAGAAGGCAGCUGCGUGGAAGAACAGAGAAAGAAAGAAAGAAGAAGAGAAAAAAAGGGGGAAGAAGAAGAAAAAAAAAUUGGGGCUUUAAGGUUUCUUACUCAAAUCUUCUCAAUUGGGGUCAUAAUUCUCAAAGGCAAGUGUUUCGAUCCUUUCUAUUGCAAGUGUUUCGAACAUUUCUAUUGUAAGUGUUCCGAUCCUUUCUAUUGCAAGCUUUCUAAUCUUUUCU
rnacentral:lncRNA from 1 species